GUGGCCUUCCCGUCACCGAAGCCCUGCGUUCCACGCGGGGUAUUGAUGUAGGUGGCGGCGGGGCCAU
rnacentral:sRNA from 12 species